AAAGUCUAACCUGCCCAAUGAGUAAUUAAAUGGCUGCGGUAUAAUGACCGUACAAAGGUAGCAUAAUAAUUAGUUUUUUAAUUGAAAGCUGGUAUGAAUGGUUGAACGAGAAAAAAUCUGUCUCAAUUUAAUUUUAAUUAGAAUUUUAUUUUUAAGUUAAAAAGCUUAAAUAAAUUUAAAAGACAAGAAGACCCUAUAGAGUUUUAUAUUAAAGAUUAUUUGAAAUUUUUAGAAAUUUUUUAUUUUAAAUUGUAAUUUAAUAUUUAAUUGGGGUGAUUAAAAAAUUUAAUAAACUUUUUUAUUUUGAAAAUCAUUAAUGAAUGUUUAAAUGAUCCA
rnacentral:rRNA from 1 species